rnacentral:rRNA from 1 species
GAUUUCUACUUGACCGUCUUGGCCCGCCUUCUUUUUGGAGGUGAGUGCUGCGAUGAGUCAGGUAUCCUUGUAGAGAGCCAAGCCUAUCCUUCACUGGAUUGGGCAUGUGCGAUCUACAUCAUUUACUUUGAAGCAGGCUUAUGCUGUGAAUACAUUAGCAUGGAAUAAUAAUAUAGGACUUCGGUUCUAUUUUGUUGGUUUCUAGGACUGAAGUAAUGAUUGAUAGGGAUAGUUGGGGGUGCUAGUAUUCCGCGGCCAGAGGUGAAAUUCUUGGAUUCGCGGAAGACUAACUAAUGCGAAAGCAUU